CCACGACCCCGACACACGGCAGAACCCAAACACCACCAAAACACUCAUCGACCACUACCUGACACAUACCCCGCUGCCGUCCCUGCCAAACGAAGCAGCACAAAAACUAGUAGACCCGAUAACACCAGAAGAACUCGCGGGCACCAUGAAAUCGCUCAAACCAAACAAAAGCCCAGGCCCGGAUGGGUUCACAGGAGUGUACU